AUUGAACGCUGGCGGCAUGCCUAACACAUGCAAGUCGAACGAGCGGAGGACGGGUGAGUAAUGUAUGGGGACUGCCUGAUCGAGGCGGCUAACUACUGGAAACGGUGGCUAAUACCGCAUACUGUCGGAUAGCCCACAUGGGAUUAGCUAGGCGGGGGGGUAAAGGCUCACCUAGGCGACGAUCCCUAGCUGGUCUGAGAGGAUGAUCAGCCACACGGGGACUGAGACACGGCCCAGACUCCUACGGAGGCAGCAGUGGGGAAUCUUGCGCAAUGGGCGCAAGCCUGAGGCAGCCAUGCCGCGUGUAUGAAGAAGGCUUUAGGGUUGUAAAGUACUUGCAUCGGGGAGGCGUUACCCGCAGAAGAAGCACCGGCUAACUCCGUGCCAGCAGCCGCGGUAAUAC
rnacentral:rRNA from 1 species